AAGGACUUGCUCCGUAAGCCCAUGCCGGUCGAAGAUACCAGGCCGCUGCGACUGUUUAUUAAAAACACAGCACUCUGCAAACACGAAAGUGGACGUAUAGGGUGUGACGCCUGCCCGGUGCCGGAAGGUUAAUUGAUGGGGUUAGCGCAAGCGAAGCUCUUGAUCGAAGCCCCGGUAAACGGCGGCCGUAACUAUAACGGUCCUAAGGUAGCGAAAUUCCUUGUCGGGUAAGUUCCGACCUGCACGAAUGGCGUAACGAUGGCGGCGCUGUCUCCACCCGAGACUCAGUGAAAUUGAAAUCGCUGUGAAGAUGCAGUGUAUCCGCGGCUAGACGGAAAGACCCCGUGAACCUUUACUAUAGCUUUGCACUGGACUUUGAAUUUGCUUGUGUAGGAUAGGUGGGAGGCUUUGAAGUGGGGACGCCAGUUCUCAUGGAGCCAUCCUUGAAAUACCACCCUGGCAACUUUGAGGUUCUAACUCAGGUCCGUUAUCCGGAUCGAGGACAGUGUAUGGUGGGUAGUUUGACUGGGGCGGUCUCCUCCCAAAGAGUAACGGAGGAGUACGAAGGUGCGCUCAGACCGGUCGGAAAUCGGUCGUAGAGUAUAAAGGCAAAAGCGCGCUUGACUGCGAGACAAACACGUCGAGCAGGUACGAAAGUAGGUCUUAGUGAUCCGGUGGUUCUGUAUGGAAGGGCCAUCGCUCAACGGAUAAAAGGUACUCCGGGGAUAACAGGCUGAUACCGCCCAAGAGUUCAUAUCGACGGCGGUGUUUGGCACCUCGAUGUCGGCUCAUCACAUCCUGGGGCUGAAGCCGGUCCCAAGGGUAUGGCUGUUCGCCAUUUAAAGUGGUACGCGAGCUGGGUUUAGAACGUCGUGAGACAGUUCGGUCCCUAUCUGCCGUGGACGUUUGAGAUUUGAGAGGGGCUGCUCCUAGUACGAGAGGACCGGAGUGGACGAACCUCUGGUGUUCCGGUUGUCACGCCAGUGGCAUUGCCGGGUAGCUAUGUUCGGAAGAGAUAACCGCUGAAAGCAUCUAAGCGGGAAACUUGCCUCAAGAUGAGAUCUCACUGGGAUCUAGAAUCCCCUAAAGGGCCGUCGAAGACUACGACGUUGAUAGGUUGGGUGUGUAAGCGCUGUGAGGCGUUGAGCUAACCAAUACUAAUUGCCCGUGAGGCUUGACCAUAUAACACCCAAGCAAUU
rnacentral:rRNA from 1 species